rnacentral:rRNA from 1 species
GACGAACGCUGGCGGCGUGCUUAACACAUGCAAGUCGAACGAGAGCGUGGAGAAAGCUUGCUUUUUCUACAAUCUAGUGGCAAACGGGUGAGUAACGCGUAAACAACCUGCCCUACGGAUGGGGACAACAGCUGGAAACGGCUGCUAAUACCGAAUACGUUCCGAAAGUCGCAUGACUGUCGGAAGAAAGGAUGGCCUCUAUUUAUAAGCUAUCGCCGGAGGAGGGGUUUGCGUCUGAUUAGCUAGUUGGAGGGGUAACGGCCCACCAAGGCGACGAUCAGUAGCCGGUCUGAGAGGGUGAACGGCCACAUUGGAACUGAGACACGGUCCAGACUCCUACGGGAGGCAGCAGUGGGGAAUCUUCCGCAAUGGGCGAAAGCCUGACGGAGCAACGCCGCGUGAGUGAAGACGGCCUUCGGGUUGUAAAGCUCUGUUAUACGGGACGAAUAAUCUUGUGGUUAAUACCCAUGAGAAGUGACGUACC